GGCGUGCUUAACACAUGCAAGUAGAACGAUGAACCAGGGCUUGCCCUGGGGAUUAGUGGCGAACGGGUGAGUAACACGUGGGCAACCUGCCCCAGACACCGGGAUAACCACUCGAAAGAGUGGCUAAUACAGGAUCCGACCAUUUUGGGCAUCCCACGGUGGUGGAAAGGAUUCUGGUCUGGGAUGGGCCCGCGGCCUAUCAGCUUGUUGGUGGGGUAAUGGCCUACCAAGGCGACGACGGGUACCCGGCCUGCGAGGGCGACCGGCCACACUGGGACUGAGACACGGCCCAGACUCCUAUGGGAGGCAGCAGUGGGGAAUAUUGCGCAAUGGGCGAAGGGCUGACGCAGCGUCGCCGCGUGAGGGACGAAGGUGUUCGGAUUGUAAACCUCUUUCAGCAGGGACGAAGCGAAAGUGACUGUACCUGCAGAAGAAGCACCGGCUAACUACGUGCCAGCCGCCGCCGUAAAAC
rnacentral:rRNA from 1 species